AUGCACGCUGGCGGCGUGCCUAAUCCAUGCAAGUCGCGCGAACAGACGAGGAGCUUGCUCCUCUGACGUUAGCGGCGGACGGGUGAGUAACACGUGGAUAACCUACCUAUAAGACUGGGAUAACUUCGGGAAACCGGAGCUAAUACCGGAUAAUAUAUUGAACCGCAUGGUUCAAUAGUGAAAGACGGUUUUGCUGUCACUUAUAGAUGGAUCCGCGCCGCAUUAGCUAGUUGGUAAGGUAACGGCUUACCAAGGCAACGAUGCGUAGCCGACCUGAGAGGGUGAUCGGCCACACUGGAACUGAGACACGGUCCAGACUCCUACGGGAGGCAGCAGUAGGGAAUCUUCCGCAAUGGGCGAAAGCCUGACAGAGCAACGCCGCGUGAGUGAUGAAGGUCUUCGGAUCGUAAAACUCUGUUAUUAGGGAAGAACAAAUGUGUAAGUAACUAUGCACGUCUUGACGGUACCUAAUCAGAAAGCCACGGCUAACUACGUG
rnacentral:rRNA from 1 species